rnacentral:rRNA from 1 species
UCGCUCCUACCGAUUCGAGUGAUCCGGUGAACCUUUUGGACCGGGGCUGUUUCGGCAGUUCUGGAAAAUCAAGUAAACCACGUCACUUAGAGGAAGGAG